GUGAUGAAUAAAUGAUGUGGAAGAAAUAAAAGAUGAUGUGGAGUGUUAAAAGGAGAAAAUGAGGGUGUUCAUGAUCUUACGGCAAUUACGAAAACUUUUAGUUUGAAGGUUCGAUUAUUUUGAUGUGAUUUUAUAGUUUUCGCAUAAAACUCAUGAGUUAGGUGUUCAAAAUUACAACUGGUUAAUUCUCUAAGCAAAUCAAUCAAAUGAAGAUACUAUAAGUAGAUGUCAUGUUUUAUAUAUUUAUUUCAUUCUCUUCGUUAUAAAU
rnacentral:lncRNA from 1 species